UAUUGCGGCAGCAGCGGCUCUCAUAGUAGUAGCAGUUGAGAUUGCUGCUGGCUGUGCAGCAGCACUUACAGUUGGGAUCAUUGGCCCAAGAGCAGCAACACCAAUGGCAGUUGGGGCUCUCAGAACAGGUGCAGUGGCAGAACUGGCAGUUCCGCUCAUCUUUGUAAGGGCAGGGGAAGCAGGUGCAGUUCCGCUCUGAGGUGAAGAUGAACUUGCAGCACAGACAGGAGCAUAACUGAGGACAACAUCUCUGCCAUGUACAACAUGGACAGCAAACGCACAUAGCAGUUUCCAUG
rnacentral:lncRNA from 1 species